AUAUAGCAUUGCAAGUUUUUCUUUUUUUUCUUCCCCAUAUGCUCGAAUUAUUGGUAUGCACCUUCCUCCUAAUGGCAAUGCAUUAAUGAUCUACUAUGUCCAGAUGGAAGCACUAUCUAUUUAUAUGCCACAGGCGACAACAGUUGGUUUCGCCUCUUGGGUCCGACGACACUGAUAUUUCAAGCAAUUGGAUUUGCAUGGCUUUUCUUCAUGCUUCUGCAAGAAUGGCGUGAUAAAAGAAGAGCCUCCAUGAUGCAUUGUAGCUCUCUUCCAUCUGGAGAUCAGUAGCUGAUAGAUUUGGUCAGACUACUGGACAUCAGCAUAUUCCCAACAAGAGGCAACACUAAAAUCGAACUCUAAAGCAACAGUGACAUGACUACCUGAAUCGUGAUUUGAUGGUUUUUUCUUUUUGGUGGGAGUGGUUUAAUAUUGUCCUCCAAUUUAAAUGUUCGCAUUGGUUACGAAUAAUUUGCAAGGUCCACUUCAUUCGUUGUGUUGCUUUCAUCCGAUCGACUCCUUCAUUGCUCCAAGUAUGUAUGUAAUUCCAACUUGAUAGAAACAGACUACCAGUUAUGGCA